GUAGGUGAACCUGCGGAGGGAUCAUUACUGAGUGAGGGCCUCUGGCUCGACCUCCAACCCUUUGUAAUUACAACUUCGUUGCCUUGGGGGCGACCCGGUCCCGUCGGGUCCGGGGCCCUCAGAGGACCACUUCGAAACACUGCAUCUUUGCGUCGGGUUUAUAAAGUUUAAUUGAUUAAAACUUUCAACAACGGAUCUCUUGGUUCUG
rnacentral:misc_RNA from 1 species